rnacentral:rRNA from 1 species
CAAGAAAUAAGCUGUCUUAAUUAAAUAUAUUGAAUUUAACUUUUAAGUGAAAAGGCUUAGAUAAUCUGGAGGGACGAUAAGACCCUAUAAAACUUUAUAUUUAUAAAUGGUAGUUAAUUUUAUUUUAGAAUAUUAUUUUGGAAUAUUUGGUUGGGGUGACAAGGAUAAAAUAUGAAAUAACUGUCUUUUUUUUUUUACAGUGAUAUUUGGUUUAGUGAUCCUGAAAUGGAUUAUAAGAUUAAGUUACUUUAGGGAUAACAGCGUAAUUUUCUUUGAGAGUUCU